GAUCGUAAGCAGAAGGCACCAGCAAAAUCAUCAUUAUAGAUGAUUUCACCUCUGCAAUCCUUAAGUCGUUGUCGUGAAGGUAAAUAGUCCCCUUCAGAUAUGCCUAUAGUAACAGUGGGUGCUUUAAGAAGUUUCCACAGUCCUUCAAUUGUUUGCUGUUCACCUUUUAGUUUUACACUGGCAUGCCAAUCAUAAUUUAUUAGAUGUAAUCGAGUAUAAGGAAGUUUUCCAGUUGAUCUGAUAUAGUUUAGAGAUUCCUCAAAAUGCUGAACUAGGAGAGAUUCUGACUUUCCUUCUCCAUUCCUAAGAAGGUUGAUGCACA
rnacentral:misc_RNA from 1 species